GGGGAAUCUUGCGCAAUGGACGAAAGUCUGACGCAGCGACGCCGCGUGGGCGACGAAGGCCUUCGGGUUGUAAAGCCCUGUGGGGCGGGACGAACAACUGCCACGUGAAUAAUGUGGUGGCUUGACGGUACCGCCUUAGCAAGCACCGGCUAACUCUGUGCCAGCAGCCGCGGUAAUACAGAGGGUGCAAACGUUGCUCGGAAUUACUGGGCGUAAAGCGCGUGUAGGUGGUUUCAUAAGUCGGGUGUGAAAGCCCAGGGCUCAACCCUGGAAGUGCACUCGAUACUGUGAAACUUGAGUACUGAAGAGGAGAGUGGAAUUCCCGGUGUAGAGGUGAAAUUCGUAGAUAUCGGGAGGAACACCAGUGGCGAAGGCGACUCUCUGGGCAGUAACUGACACUGAGACGCGAAAGCGUGGGUAGCAAAC
rnacentral:rRNA from 1 species